ACGCUCGACACCUACGGGAGCAGCAGUCGGGAAUAUUGCGCAAUGGAGGAAACUCUGACGCAGUGACGCCGCGUAUAGGAAGAAGGUUUUCGGAUUGUAAACUAUUGUCGUUAGGGAAGAAAAAAGACAGUACCUAAGGAGGAAGCUCCGGCUAACUACGUGCCAGCAGCCGUGGUAAUCUGAGCGGGCUGGCAAGGC
rnacentral:rRNA from 1 species